rnacentral:rRNA from 1 species
CAAGUCACGGGGGGUAGCAAUACCAACCGGCGAACGGGUGCGUAACACGUGAGCAAUCUGCCGAUUUGAGGGGGAUAGCCGGCCCAACGGCCGGGUAAUACCGCAUACGCUUGCUUUCGGGAGUCCGAGGGCAAGGAAACCUCCGGGGCAAAUCGAGGAGCUCGCGGCCUAUCAGCUAGUUGGCGGGGUCAAGGCCCACCAAGGCGAUGACGGGUAGCUGGUCUGAGAGGAUGGCCAGCCACAUUGGGACUGAGAGACGGCCCAGACUCCUACGGGAGGCAGCAGUGGGGAAUCUUGCGCAAUGGUCGAAAGACUGACGCAGCGACGCCGCGUGUGGGAGGACGCCUUUCGGGGUGUAAACCACUGUUGCCCGGGACGAACAGCCUUUUUCGAGAGGCCUGACGGUACCGGGUGAGGAAGCACCGGCUAACUCCGUGCCAGCAGCCGCGGUAAUACGGAGGGUGCGAGCGUUGUCCGGAAUCACUGGGCGUAAAGGGCGCGUAGGCGGCCCUGGCAGUCGGUGGUGAAAGCCCGCGGCUCAACUGCGGGUCGGCCACCGAUACUCCAGGGCUCGAGUUUGGUAGAGGCAGAUGGAAUUCCGGGUGUAGCGGUGGAAUGCGUAGAGAUCCGGAAGAACACCGGUGGCGAAGGCGGUCUGCUGGGCCAAGACUGACGCUGAGGCGCGACAGCGUGGGGAGCAAACAGGAUUAGAUACCCUGGUAGUCCACGCCGUAAACGAUGGGCACUAGGUGCUUGGGGGAGCGACCCCUUGAGUGCCGGCGCUAACGCAUUAAGUGCCCCGCCUGGGGAGUACGGCCGCAAGGCUGAAACUCAAAGG